GUAGGGAAUAUUGCACAAUGGAGGAAACUCUGAUGCAGCGACGCCGCGUGAGUGAUGAAGGCCUUCGGGUCGUAAAACUCUGUGAUAAGGGAAGAUGAUGACGGUACCUUAUCAGAAAAGACCGGCUAACUUCGUGCCAGCAGCCGCGGUAAUACGAGGGGUCUAAGCGUUGUUCGGAAUCACUGGGCGUAAUGCGGGUGUAGGUGGCUAUGCAAGUUGGAUGUGAAAGCCCCGGGCUCAACCCGGGAAGUGCAUCCAAAACUACGUAGCUUGAGUGCGGGAGAGAAAGGCAGAAUUCCUGGUGUAGUGGUGAAAUACGUAGAUAUCAGGAGGAACUCCGGUGGCGAAGGCGGCCUUUUGGCCCAGCACUGACACUCAGACCCGAAAGCGUGGGUAGCAAACAGGAUUAGAUACCCCUGUAGUCC
rnacentral:rRNA from 1 species